rnacentral:rRNA from 1 species
UACAGAGGGUGCGAGCGUUAAUCGGAAUUACUGGGCGUAAAGGGCGCGUAGGCGGCAUAUUAAGUUAGAUGUGAAAUCCCUGGGCUUAACCUAGGACUUGCAUUUAAGACUGAUAGGCUAGAGUAAUGUAGAGGGAAGUGGAAUUUCCGGUGUAGCGGUGAAAUGCGUAGAUAUCGGAAAGAACAUCAGUGGCGAAGGCGGCUUCCUGGACAUAUACUGACGCUGAGGCGCGAAAGCAUGGGUAGCAAACAGG